UUUGCUUUUUUUUCUGCAAUCACUGCUGAAGAUGGCUCUGAACUUUGAAUGUAGCUUCAGAAAAGAACUUCACAAAAAUUAUAGGAAGUUCCCAAACACCUGAUGCUUAAGAAAGAAUGCUGUGCAACUACUGCUGAGAUCUAAAAGGCAAGCCAAGAUCCCAGAUCAAAUCCCAGAUAUGAGUACUACCUUCUUGCCAAGUAUGAAAUUCUAUACUGUGGUGGCAAUAUUUCUAAUCAAGAAAUGUUGGACUAAAGAAGCAUCUCCCAUAUACUAUGUGAAUGUUGAAGAUGAUAACGUGUUAGAGCAGCAGGGUGCAGGAGUGCAGUUCAUCAAAGCCAUUGUAUUGAUGCUGAUGUGUAAACUGCCUGGCAUGGGAUACCGCGGAGUA